GAAAAAAAAAUAUCAUGAAAUAUUUAUUAUUUUUGUUUUGUAUGUGAGUAUGUGAAUGUAUGUGUGUAUGUGUAUUGGAUCCCCUGGAGCUGGAGGUACCGGUGGCUGGGAGCCAGCUGAUGUGGGUGCAGGGAAGUAAACCCAGGGUAAUUCUGCAAGAACAACAGUUACUCUUAACCACUGAGCAAUGCUCCAGCCCUAUUCAGUCUUUUUUUUUUUUGUUUGUUUGUUUGUUUUUGUUUUUCGAGACAGGGUUUCUCUAUGGUUUUGGAGCCUGUCCUGGAACUAGCUCUUUCUUGUAGACCAGGCUGGUCUCGAACUCACAGAGAUCCGCCUGCCUCUGCCUCCUGAGUGCUGGGAUUAAAGGCGUGCGCCACCACCGCCCGGCCCUAUUCAGUCUUAAACCAUACAACAUACUACAAGCAAUAUAAGAAUAAAAGGGUAGAGAAUGAAUAGCUGCCCUCCCCCUUCUAGUGCCUUCUCAUAGCUCUUGCCUCUCUCCCCUUCCUGCCCUCUUCUCUUUCCCCCUCUCUCCUCUCCUUUAUUCACUUUCUUCUCUCCCUGUUCCACCAUCUCUCUCUCUCUUUCUCCAAACACACACACACACACACACACACACACACACACACACACACACACGCGUUGCUAGGGAGCAAACCAAGAGCCAAGUGCAUACUAGGCAAGUGUUCUAACUGAACUACAGCCCCAGCCCAAACUUUUGAGGGGAGAGGCAAUAGCGAUUGAACUAGGAUGCUGAGUGUCCCAGACAAGCAUUCUACACUUGUCUCUUUCCUGAUUUCUUUCUUUCCCCAUUACAUUUAUUUGUUUGUCUGUCUGUAUGCAGAGACCAGUAAACAUCUUGUGGGAGCUGGUUCUCCCUUCCACCGUGUGCAUUCUAGGGAUGGAACUCGGUCAGACUUGCCAGCGAGCAUUUUCACCCAGUGAGCGUCUUGCUGGCUUAUUUCUUUCUCAUGUGAGUCAUUGUUAGUGAACUGAGGCUCUUGAUUGUAUGUGAUCCUGUAACUUGACUGUCUUCUUAUCUUGUUCUACUGGAGUUUUAGAGGGAGUACGGGGCAGUUAUGAUUUUCUGUAUGUGAGAUCAUAUCACCAGCCAACAGUGACAGUUUUACUUCUUCCUUUCCUAUCUGGAAGCCUCUUUGUCAAGUGACCCCAUCCAGGACUUCCAGAAGUGCACUGAACAGAAGUGGUUAGAGCAGAAAUGCCUCAUCUUGAUCCUGAUCUUAGAAUGAACUUUCAGCUUUCGCUCCUGCCGGGCGGUUGUGGCGCACGCCUUUAAUCCCAGCACUCGGGAGGCAGAGGCAGGCGGAUCUCUGUGAGUUCAAGGCCAGCCCUGGUCUACAAGAGCUAGUUCCAGGACAGGAACCAAAAGCUAUGGAGAAACCCUGUCUCGAAAAUAAAAAAAAAAAAAAACCAGCUUUCGCUUCUGAGACCCAUAUUAAUUGUGUGUCUGUCAUACAUGGCCUUGUCUUUUUUUGAGCUUUAUGACUUUAAAAAUAAGAUGGUCCUUCCCAGGAAAAAUGAUAAAAUCUGGCCAUGGUGGCCCAUGCCUGUAAUCUCAGCACUCAAGAGACUGAGGCAGGAGGAUCUGCUUUAAUUUGAAAUUGUUUUUCUCUGACUUGGUUGUCCUCCUUAGUCUUGACUCAUUAGCCGACUAAACUGGCUUCACUGGACCUUUCUGAGCCUCAGAUUUGUUUUUCUUUCUUUCUAAACAGGGUUAGACUAAUACACUGUCAACAGUCUUGUUCAGAAGGAGGGAUAUCUGGGAAAACAGCAUCCAUUCAUUCUCAAAGCAUUCUAUUGUGUCUGUCUGCAGAUACGGCACUGUGUCUCGGAGGCUGGAGAGAUGGCUCAGUGGUUAAGAGCACUAGCUGCUCUUCCAGAAGACCUGGACCCACGUGGCAGCUUACAACUGUCGUUGACUCCAGUUCCAGGGGAUCUGACACCUUCAAACCAAUGCACAUAAAAUGAAUUUAAAUGAAUUAUUAAAAAAAAAAAACCCUG